rnacentral:lncRNA from 1 species
UGCUAAGGUCUAUCCAUAAACCAAUUUAGUCACUUUUAAACCAUCAAGUAAUCUAGGGCACAUUCACAAUUCAUCCAUACCAAACACACAUGACCACACCCUAUGAAACCUUUUAGUACAUGCAUACAUAUAUAGAUAGGUUUACAACCCAAUAACCAAUAUGAGCCACAUCACAUGGCCAUAUACAAAACGAAUCAUAUUCCCAUUAUGAGCCAAUGCAUUUGGCCAAAUCAAAUGACACAUAUCGAAUUGACUAAGUUCCUAUACAUGCCAUAGACUUAAAGUGCUUGAAAUCAUUUAUACCCUUCAAUAGCUGGAUAGUGUGAUAGAAUCUCCUACGAUCUCCAACCCGAGCUAGCAUCUGUGACACUAUGAGAGAAAGGAAAGGAAAGGGGUAAGCUAUAUAGCUUAGUAAGUCCAUAUGAAAAUAAUAAGCAAUUUAUUAACAUGUUUUUAACAAUUCUCACAACAUGUUCACAAGUUAAUACAAUCAUAAUUGCACAAAAUUCUACUAUUUACUCCUGUUCAUCUUAAGCUAUCUACUUGACUCAUAGUUACUAAAUUAUUUAUAUCUUGAGCUACAGAACUCCAAAUUAAGAUCCACUAAUUUUUCCUGAAACUAGACUCACAUAUCUUCUUACCAUAAAAUUUUUAAAAUUUUUGGUCUAGCCAAUAACUACAUUUUAUUCUUUAAAUUCUCCCCUAUUCUGCUGUUUGACAGUUUCAACCCUUGUUCACUAAAAAAUAAUUAUCACACAGUAAGGAAUUCGGAUAAUGUUCCCAUCUAUUUCUAUUGAAAAUAGAUUCAUUAAGAAUUUAUUCAUAUGAAUUCCAACCCAUAAUUAUUUUCAUACAAUUUUAAUGAUUUUCCAAAGUUAAGACAAGGGAACCCGAAAUCACGCUAGCCCUGUAUCACAGAAAUUGAAAUAUCUCAUAACAUGAAAUUUUAUUGCUUACAUCGUUUCUUCUACGUAAAACUAAACUCGAUAAGCUUUAAUUUAAUAUUUUAUUCAACCUCUAACUCAAUUUACACAAUUUUUGGUGGAUUUUCAAAGUCAAGCUACUGCUGUUGUCCAAAACUGUUUUAGUGUAAAAUAAUGAUAACUAAGUUUAUAACACCUUUACAAAUCAUUUCAACCUUUAUGGUAAAAAUACAUACUUAUACAUCAUAAACAUAGAACCAUAAUCACAAGGUUAUCACAAAAUCAUUCUCAUGGGCAUGACUUACUUAUUUGCAUCCUUACCAAAGGUGUAUCCUAAACCGAGAUAAUUUCUCAUGAGUUUUGCACACAUACCCGCACCACUAGCAACAUCAUCAUAAGUUUUCUCAAUCAUGACACAAUAUUUAAAUCACCCGUUGAACCAGUUGAAAUACUAAAGGAUACCCGAUAAGCCUCAUACAAAAGGGUAAAAUGUCAAUGCCAUGUCCCGGACAUGGUCUUACAGUGGCUCUCAUACAUUGGUACCGAUGCCAUGUCCCAAAAAUGGUCUUACACUGACACAUAUAACAAUGUCGAUGCCAUGUUCCAAACAUGGUCUUACACUAGUUCGCAUAUUGAGGCUGAUGCCAUGUCUCAGACAUGGUCUUACACUGGCUCUCAUAAUGUGGCCGAUGCCAUGUCCCAGACAUGGUCUUAUACGAGCACACAUAUCAACACCGAUGCCAUGUCCCAGACAUGGUCUUACAUUGGAUCUCAUAAUGUGGCCGAUGCCAUGUCCCAGACAUGGUCUUACACUAGCACACAUAUCAACACCGAUGCCAUGUCCCAGACAUGGUCUUACACUGGCUCUCUGUAACAUCUCAAAAUAGGGCCUAAAUGGAAUAGUGGUUGCGAAACCUCUUCUGAGAUAGAAAAUUUUAUUUCGAUUAAUUUUUAUGAUUUACCGGGUGAUUAGAUGCAUGUGUUAGAGUAUUGAUAAGAAAUUGUAUAGAUUGCAUGUUUAGUUUGCCUAUUAGGGCUUAUUUGCAGAAGUUGCUGUAACAGCCCGAUUUAGGCCUAAAUGGAACGAUGGUUUUAGAACCACGAAUUUGAAGUCAAAAAAAUUAUUCUGAUUAAGUUUUAAGGUUUAUUUAUUGAUUAAAAUAAUGUGUAAAAAUAUCGUUAAGUAAUUUUACUGAUAAAGUGCUUAAUUGGACUUUUAGGACCAAAUUGCAAAAGUUACAAAAUAUGUGUUCUAAUUCAUAAGUAAUUGAUUGAAAUGGGGGUUUAAAGAGGAUUUCGUUAAAUGUUAAUUAGACCAUUAUAUUUCGUUUGGACAAAAAUGGGCAUGAAUAGGACAAAAUUUUAAAGAAAGGCCUUAAGGGCAUUUUAGUCAUUUGGUAAUUAAAAGAAAUAAAAAGGGAAAAUAAAGCCAAAAUUGACUCAUCUUUUUCAUGGAGGCCAAAAUUAGCAUGGGGGAAGCCAUGGCUAGGGUUUUCAAGCUUUCCAAGCUCAAUAGUAAGUCCGUUCUAGCCCCGUUUUCAAGUUCUUUACGAUUUUAGAAUCCCGGUAACUUGAUUAAGCUUAUUCUAGCUAUAAUUUAAGCUAGGGUUCAUAUUUGGAAAAAUACCCAUAGGUUAAAUGUGUUUAUUUUGAUAUUUUAUGGUAGAAUAUGAAGGCUGAAAUUAUGUUAAACAACUUUUGCUAAGCAGUUUUAAGCAAAAAUGAGUAAAACGGCUUAAUCGGUAAAAGUUGUUAUUAUUCAUAACUAUGUGUUAGAGUGAGAAUUUGAUGUUGCCAUAGAAGGGAAAAAUGAUCAGCAUGUCAGAAAACAUAGGAAUAAGGGAUGCAGUUUAAUUCCCGAGCCUAGGGGCAAAAGUGUAAGUAUGCAAAAUUUUAGGGGCAAAAUUGUAAUUUUCCCAAAGUUUGAGUUAAGGACUGUUUUGAAUAUUAAAUUAAUUAAAUAAGUAAAAUAGGAUGUUUUAGAUCCCGAAAAAUGAGAUUUGAAUCUAGAAUGGGAGAAAAAAUAAAAAUCGGGAAAGUUGGUAAAAUGACCGUUUUAGUAUCGAGGUAAGUUCAUAUGUAUAAUAAGCAUUAAUUUAUGCAUGUUUCAAUAUAAAAUUGAUAUAUUUACUAUGAUUGCCAAGGUGUUGAAAGUAAGUAUAAUUAUGAUGAUUUAAAUGUUCAAUAUUAAUUCGACAUGGAAAUGAGAAAGUAUGUAAGUUUGUAUGUAAAUAAUACAUUAUCUUUAUUAUGUUUUUGUAUUUCAGCAUAAUUUAUGUAUUGCAGCUGAUUUUUGAAUCAUAAUUGACUAUUGGAAGUAUGGAAUCAAGUAUUAGAAAGUGAGAGAAAUCCCGGUUGAACCUUCGGAAAGAUUGGAUGAUACAGAUGGUAUGUAGCUAGGUCACAUGUAUGGUGCUAAGUACACAUCAUGUGCACAAGAGAGCUACGAGACAUUAUGAUGUAGCCAGGUUGCAUGGGUGAUACUAUGUGUACACCAUGUAGACAAGAGAGCUACGGGAUAUAUGUAGCUAGGUCGCAUCGUGGUUCCAGGUGAAGGACACCGUGUAGACAAGAGAGCUAUGAGAUAAACUGGCUAGGUCACAUGGGUGGUACUAAGUGUUCACCAUGUGUACAAGAGAGCCAAAAUUAUGUGUACAAUCAAGCUAGGUCAUAUGAGUGGUGCUAAGUGAAGACCACUAUGUGUACAAGAGAGCUUUGAUUUGAAAGGUGGGCUGUGUGCGAUACCAUCGCGUAUCUGUUAUUAUUCCGAAGCGUUCAACUGGGAAAUUGAUUAAAUGAAAUUGUGUAUGACUUUAUGAUGAUAAGUGUAAGUAUAUACGUGUGUAACUUAUGAGCAAUAAGCUCGAUAUGUGAUUGGAAAUUGGAAAGAUUGUUAGGGGAAAGUGAUGAAUACAAUUGAAGUGUGAAAGAUCAAAAUUGACAAUAAAACUGUUCUGGAUAGUUGCAGUGACGUGAAUUUAAAAAUUUACUAAAAAUAGUAGAAAUUGAAACAGAGACUGAAUGAGAUAUCAAAUUAGAGCUUAAUGAGUCUAUUUUCAUAUAACAAAAACAGAGCAAGCAAAGGAAUUCUAUAUUAUGAGAUAUUUAAGUUUUUGAGAGACUGGUUGAGAAUGACUACGUGAUCCCCUGUUCUAACGUGAAAAAAAUCAUUAAAAAUUGUAUAAAAAUGAUAUAAUUUAUAUGAUUGAAAUCCUUAAUGAGUCUAGUUUCAAAUGAAAUAAACGAUAACAUCCUUUGAAUUCUAUAUGAGGAUAAAAUUGAUUUGUAGAUAAGAGUGGUCAGAAUAGUUGAGCAGUGAAACAAGGGUAAGUUAAAUGAAUAAACUGUACUAAUUUGAUAGACCAAAAAUUUUGAAAAUUUUAUGGUAAGAAUAUAUGUGAAUCUAGUUUCAAGGAAAAUUAAUGGUUUGUAAUUUUGAGUUAUGUAGCUCCAGAAAUAAAUAAUUUAGUUUAUGGUACUCUGCUAGACAACUUAUUUUGAACCUGUUUAUGAUUGUAAUAGUGAAAGUAUUUGUGUUUGUGAUGGUAAUAUUCCGGGAACAUAUUGCGACUUUGUUUAAAGUAUGAUAAUGUAUUUUUUAUUAAUAUUUACAUACUUACUUACUAAGCUAUAAUGCUUACUCCCUUCCUUUCCUUUUUCCUUUAGUGUCGCAAAUGUUGGCUCGAGUUGGAGGUCGCCGGAGGUUAAAUCACACUAUCAAACUAUUGAUCGAUAUAUAAAAGUUUUAAAGUAUUUUAAGUCUUUGGCAUGUAUAGAGACUCGUUUAAUUGUUAUUAAGUUGCUAGGAAUUGGCUUAAAAUACUGACCUAUGUUAUUUGAAGGUCUCUAUUAUAUAAAGUCAUUUAAUGUAGAUAGUCUUGAUUAUGUUAUUAAUUAUGAAUUGGUUUUUAUAUGAUGAUUAGUGAUUAAUUCCGGUAAUGCCUCGUACCCUGUUCCAGCGUCAAACACGGGUAAGGGGUGUUACACUCUCAUAAUGUGGCCGAUGCCAUGUCCCAAAAAUGGUCUUAUGCUAGCACACAUAUCAACCAAAUGUCUUGGCAUGGAUAUCCAAUCUAUUCCUAAGGUUCAACUGGGAGUUUUACUACAACAAAUCUUGUCAUACAUAUUCCAUGUAAUAUCACUCUUUAACACCAAGUUACCAUUCAUUACAAUGUCAUCAAACAUCAUAGACAUAUGUUUUAGGUCAUUGCAUAUACAUAGCUUACAAUAUAAUUUUGUGAAGCAUAACACCAUCACGUACAUAGUACCAAAAAUAUAUAAUUCAACACAUCCGCAUUUUCAUAUCAAUUCAGAUUGCAAUCACAAAUCACAAUAACAUUAUUGUUUUACCAAUUUUAUCAUACGACUCGUUUGUCGAUUCUUCGUCGAGUAUGUUCGUAACAAAUCAUACAAAUUAUAUAAUAAAAAUUAGGCAUUUCAAUUCAAAUAAGACAUUGCAUUAUUAUUAUCACACGAACUUACCUCGAAUACAAAAACGGCUAAUUAUACCCUUUUUGUCCUUAACCACGUACUUUCUCGAUUUAAGCCCAAAUCUCAAUUUUCUUGAUCUAACAUUUCAAAUAUAGCUUAUUUAUUACCCACAAUAUUCAAGUUGACCCAAAAAUCAUACUUUGGAUAAUUUAUAAUUUUCCCCUAAACUUUUACUUAUUUGCAAAUUAGUCCCUAAGUUUGAAAACUAAAAUUCAUUCAAUUUUAUCCCAACCCAAGCCUAGCCGAAUAUUUAUCUUACUUACAGCAACCCACAUAUUUCAUUAUUUCACACCUUUACCAUCUAUUUUACCACUUUUACAAAAUGGUCCAUUUUAGGUGUUUUCAUGAAAAUCACUUAACAAAAGUUGUUAAUUUAACAACGAAGAUUCAUUUUCUUCCAUAAAAAUGAAGCAAAAAACAUGAAUAUUCUCAUGGAAAAACCUUAGACUUUCAAUCAUUUUGCAAAAUAGUCCCCUCAUUAGUUAAAUCAAGCUACAAAUGUUCCAAAAAUACAAAAUCAUCAAAAAUGACCAUCAAAAUCACUUACUUGUGAGGGCUAGAAGUUGCUGAAAUUUUCAAGCUUCCAUGGCCAUUUCCUUGGGUAAAAAUCGGUGGAUAAGAAAGAGAAAUAAAAAAA